rnacentral:rRNA from 1 species
UACGUAGGGGCCUAGCGUUGUCCGGAAUUAUUGGGCGUAAAGCACGUGUAGGUGGCCAAGUAGGUCCGCUGUGAAAACUUGAGGCUCAACCUCAAGCUGUCGGUGGAAACCCCUUGGCUAGAGUCCGGAAGAGGAGAGUGGAAUUCCUGGUGUAGCGGUGAAAUGCGCAGAUAUCAGGAAGAACACCAAUGGCGAAGGCAGCUCUCUGGGACGGUACUGACACUGAGACGCGAAAGCGUGGGGAGCGAACAGG